UUUUUGCAUUGAGAUGGACAUCUUCAAGCAAUUCUUGCAUCUCUCUACUUGCUUCUUUUCUAGCUAAAGCUAGGUCACCCCAAAGUUGAUGCCGCUUAAAUAAGUUUUUUUUUUUUUCCUAUCAAGGAAAUGACAUGGGGAGCAAGGCUGGGAGUAAGCCACCAUAGAAGGAAUAAUAGUCGGUGCUUUCAGGCGCCCUUCAGAGAGGAAGCAGUCAUGUUCUCCAACCGAUCCCCGUUUCCUCAAAUUAUCGACGGCGAGCGACUUAUUCCGCAUUAACUACCAGAGAAAAAUCCUGACUUUGAGCUACAAAUGCUUGGCAUCUGUUAAAAAAUCUAAACAAAGAGUUCAUGGAUAAGAACGGUUUCGAUUCCCAUUUCCAAUAGCAUAAUAGAAUGGGUCCUAGGCAAAACAAAAUGCUGUGCAGGUCAAGAACCUGAUUUCUAUAAGAAAUUCAGUCUAAUUCUGCUGAAAUUUCCAAACAGACUCUUAAUGAGUUUCAUUUGAAACUACCAUUUGGGUAGCGGAAGCUCCCCAUUCUUUCUUCUUCUUUUUUU
rnacentral:lncRNA from 1 species